rnacentral:rRNA from 1 species
UGGGGAAUCUUGCGCAAUGCGCGAAAGCGUGACGCAGCAACGCCGCGUGGGGGAAGACGGCCUUCGGGUUGUAAACCCCUUUCAGUUGGGACGAAGCUUCGUCGGUUAAUAGCCGGCCGGAGUGACGGUACCUUCAGAAGAAGCCCCGGCUAACUACGUGCCAGCAGCCGCGGUAAUACGUAGGGGGUAAGCGUUGUCCGGAAUCAUUGGGCGUAAAGCGCGUGUAGGCGGUUCGAUAAGUCUGCUGUGAAAGUCCAGGGCUCAACCCUGGGAUGCCGGUGGAAACUGUCGGGCUAGAGUACGGAAGAGGCGAGUGGAAUUCCCGGUGUAGCGGUGAAAUGCGCAGAUAUCGGGAGGAACACCAAUUGCGAAGGCAGCUCGCUGGGACGUCACUGACGCUGAGACGCGAAAGCGUGGGGAGCAAACAG